UACGUAGGUGGCAAGCGUUGUCCGGAAUUAUUGGGCGUAAAGCGCGCGCAGGCGGUCCUUUAAGUCUGAUGUGAAAGCCCACGGCUCAACCGUGGAGGGUCAUUGGAAACUGGGGGACUUGAGUACAGAAGAGAAGAGUGGAAUUCCACGUGUAGCGGUGAAAUGCGCAGAUAUCGGGAGGAACACCAGUAGCGAAGGCGGCUCGCUGGGCCAUUCCUGACGCUGAGGAGCGAAAGCGUGGGGAGCAAACAGG
rnacentral:rRNA from 1 species